GACAGAGGUGCCAAGCGUUAGGCGGAAUCACUGGGCUUAAAGCGUGUGUAGGCGGAUUUGUAAGUACCUUGUGAAAUCCCACGGCUCAACCGUGGAACUGCUCGGUAUACUGCUUAUCUUGAGCCACUUAGGGGCUACCGGAACAAAAUGGUGGAGCGGUGAAAUGCGUAGAUAUCAUUUGGAACGCCAAUGGUGAAAAACAGGUAGCUGGGAGUGUGCUGACGCUGAGACACGAAAGCCAGGGGAGCGAACGGG
rnacentral:rRNA from 1 species